GACGAACGCUGGCGGCGUGCUUAACACAUGCAAGUCGAACGAAGUGGCGAACGGGUGAGUAACGCGUAAUCAACCUGCCCUGCAGAGGGGGACAACAGUUGGAAACGACUGCUAAUACCGCAUACUGAAGGAGGGGCUUGCGUCUGAGUAGCUAGUUGGAGGGGUAACGGCCCACCAAGGCGAUGAUCAGUAGCCGGUCUUGGAGGAUGAACGGCCAAAUUGGGACUGAGACCCGGCCCAGAACCCUACGGGAGGCAGCAGUGGGGAAUCUUCCGCAAUUGACGAAAUGCUGACGGAGCAACGCCGCGUGAGUGAUGACGGCCUUCGGGUUGUAAAGCUCUUUUAAUCGGGACGCGGUACCGGAAUAGAAAGCCACGGCUAACUACGUGCCAGCAGCCGCGGUAAUUC
rnacentral:rRNA from 1 species